ACGUAGGGUGCAAGCGUUAAUCGGAAUUACUGGGCGUAAAGCGUGCGCAGGCGGUUAUGUAAGACAGAGGUGAAAUCCCCGGGCUCAACCUGGGAACUGCCUUUGUGACUGCAUAGCUAGAGUACGGUAGAGGGGGAUGGAAUUCCGCGUGUAGCAGUGAAAUGCGUAGAUAUGCGGAGGAACACCGAUGGCGAAGGCAAUCCCCUGGACCUGUACUGACGCUCAUGCACGAAAGCGUGGGGAGCAAACAGGAUUAGAUACCCUGGUAGUCCACGCCCUAAACGAUGUCAACUGGUUGUUGGGUCUUCACUGACUCAGUAACGAAGCUAACGCGUGAAGUUGACCGCCUGGGGAGUACGGCCGCAAGGUUG
rnacentral:rRNA from 1 species